GGCAUAGCCAAGCGGUAAGGCAACGGACUUUGACUCCGUUAUUCGGUGGUUCGACUCCACCUGCC
rnacentral:tRNA from 1 species